GACAUGAAGGCAGGGGGAGAUAGAAUUGGGUAGUGGAGCCGAUUUAUUUUGAGUCUACUGAGUAUAGAAGACUUCCUUGAAGUCCUGGAAGUUGGGGUUCCUGAAUUAAGAGCCAAGUACCGUUUGCGAAGGGCGGCACUAGGCGCUUUAUAUUUAAUUUUCAUUUGCUGUCUCCCUUCUAUGUUUAGAGGCUUAAAUCGUUGCAAACGUAUAGAACUUCAAGCUCAUUGAUGUGUUUAUUUACAUCCAGAAUAUUUCCUGUGGAAAAAUCCAGGCUCUGCGUGCAGAUGUCCCAGUGACUAAGCACCUUAGCUAAGCCUCAACCACCUGCUGGUCUGGUUUCUCAUGCAUAUACAGCGGCCCCAAACCACUAUUCCAGAUCUUUGCAACAGGGCACAAUGAAAGCAUCUGUGUCUAGCUCAAGGCAAAGGUCAAGUUGUGAGGAGAGUCUGAAUAUGUUACAUUAAAAAAAAAACACAAAUUCAGUCAAUUUGAAGAUCUAAUUGGCUUUAUUCAACUAUUCAUGAAUUGGGCAGCAUCCCAUCUAGCAACUAGAAGAAUGCUGGGAGUGGUUGUACAAAAUGGAAGGCUUUUAAUAGGCAGGAGGGUGGGGCAAGAAGGUAUUAAAAAAAGAAAAGAUGGGUUCCCUUUCUGGGAAGGUCGCCCCCCCCCGCAAGGGUUUUAUCAUGCAGAUUGCCUCUUCUGGGGGUGGGAAUGGGGGUUGAUGGAGAGGGACCACGUGACAGGUUACCUUACUGGUGCUUAACCAGAAAAUUCCAUACUGGUCCCUUAACAUUACAUUUCUGGGGGAGGCAGAAACUGCAAUUAGACAUGGGUACUAAACCUAGAUAAUAAAUCUAGGUUUGGUAUCAUGGGCUUUAGCACUAGUGAUGCCACUUUGGGCCUGUGGUUUUCUUUUUAACACCAUCCAACCAAUUCUUUUAUCAUUCUAGAUUCUGUCAUUGAAUCAAACUGGGCAAGAUGUGAGGGCAACAUACUUAUGGAGUAUGGCUCCUGACCUGAGUCUAAACUAGUUCACUAACCUAGAAAAUUCUGAAUGUCCUACUGUCGGGAAGGGUCAGUUUGGAACACUGCACAUUGUCACAGUUUUCCCCCUGGCCUAGCCCAUGGACUUACUUCUCAGAGUCUUACUGUGUGUCCUGAUGCUAUUAAAAACUGAAAGCUGUUUUUCUAGCUAAAGUAAGGUAUCAGGAGCACCAGACAACUCAGCUUCGGAACCUGUGUAAUGAAAUGUAACCUCAGUGGGGAAAGCUGUUCUCAGCAGUUGAGUGAAAACAUGGUAUAACUUUAGUGCAGAAGGGCCCUGGUGUUUGAGCAGCUUCAGCAGUCCUGGUUGUGCUAGCACAUCAGAGCAUCUUCAAGGCAAUGUAAUGUUGGCCUCUGGAUGCCAUUCCCUUCUGCAUAAUGGACAGGCCACCCUAGUCCACACCCUUACCCUGGCAGCCUCAGCACAGACUUGUCAGGCAUCACGAGCAGCACCUUUGACCUGGAUGAGCCUGUGCUGCCGGGGUGCCCGUGUGUAGUUGAGGAGCAGUGCUGUGACUGUCUUAGCAACAGAUCUCUGCAGGAAGCCAGAGCAAGUGAGGUUGGAAAAUGACAGAUUCCAUGUGGCACUGUUUGUCAGCACAUGGGAGACAACACUUGGGAAGCCCUGUAAAUAUUUGGUGUGUUAUGUAUGGUGGUGCUGGUAGUGUUAGUAAAUUGCAAUUUAAAAGAAAGGGUAAAAUCCUGAAAUCAUGCUCUGGGGCUGCAGAGUGGCAAGGGUGGGGAGUGGUAGGCCGUGGGGGACUGAGCCACUGAUAUUGUGACCUUGGCUUUACCAUCAGGCAGGUUUGGCUUGGGAAAUAAGCCCUCUUCCCACCAAAUUGUCCUCAGAGGGUUGGCUUUAAUAUUAUGCCAAAACUCGGUUUGAAUUAUGAGAUAAGAAACAACCACAUUCACUGUUUUAUCUCCAGUAGUGAACACAGUGCCUGAGUCAUAAGUACUCCAUAAAUACUUGUGGAAUGAAAUUAUAGAAUAUAUCGUAGGAAUGCUGUUGAGGACAUUGUUCAUUACAUCACUUAUUGCUCCCUUGAGAAAUUUGUUGUAGUGUUAGCAUUAGAACAAACAUUAAAACGUAUGAACAUUACUUUUCCUUCAUUUUUGCCUCGGCUGAUAGGAAGCUUGGAGCUUAAUUUUAAACUUAACCACAGCAAAUAUUUAGAACCUAAUAGCUAGUGUAACUGUGAUCUUUUCCUCCAGGAUAUCACCCUGGAUUGGAAGGGGGCAAAACUGGAGAAAGGUCAGGCUGUUGCAGGCUUCCAGGUGUGAAACCUUUAGGAGGCAGAGUUAACAAUAGAGAGUGAGAGGGAGGAAGGCGUCAAGGAUGACUUCUUAGUUCCUGGGUCGGGCAACUUGCAGAGGAUGCCUUUUACCGGAAGGAGGUUGAGCAGAAAUUAGCAAGUUAAUUUUGAAUAUGUACAUUGUAAGUUUACCUGUGAGGCAUUUAAAUACAAAUGCCCUCUAGAUUUUAUGGAUCUGGAACUCAGGAUAAAUCUGGAGUAGGAAUAUAUAGGUGAAACUCCUCCACGCAUAGUUAUUAAUUGAAACAUUAGGAGCGGUUAAGAUUCCCAGGGUGAGUGAGUCGAGUAGGAGAGAAACAGGGGGCUAGGACAGGACUCUUGAGUGUUACAGAGCAAGGGCUCGCUGUGCCACGCGCAUAGAGGCCAAUACUAUGGCACUGGCUUUUGAGAAAAGAGCUUUAUCUUGAGGUCGACUGACAAGGAGGCGGGAGGCAAGGCUCUCAAACCUGUCUCCUUGAUCUAUCGUCGGGGCAAAGUUUAAGGGGUUAGAGAAAUUUCAAACCUGGAUGGUGAUUGGUUAGUCUUGAAUUAGUCCAUAUGAGCUACUCAUGCUGCUGGAAGCCAGCUUUUUCUUAUUGAAGGACUUCUCACUUUGCAAAGGGCUCUGGUGGCAACAUUUCCGGAGGCAAGUCAGGUUUGUGGGUUCAAGCCCCACCCUAAGGGAGCCCAUAUAAAAGGUUACAGCUGCUGACGUACUCAAAGGAUUAGCGUCCCAAACCCUGGGUUAGAGCCUGCGGUCUUUGGAUUUCUCUGCUUGUCUGUGUUUGUCGGUGACUGUUUUAUUUGUGAGGAAUUGGCCAAUAGGGUUAACUAUUGGAUGACUGCAGCAAAGCUUUGCUGAAUCUGCUUCCUGUCAUUUUGCUCUGGUUAUCCUGACGAGAAAACACUUCCAAAAUGGGGAAUGUUAACAGUACCCCUGCUAAUUUAACAGGAAGGGAGGAAAAAAGAAAAAAAAAACUAUGAUAAUAUCAGUCUAAGGAAUAGAGUAAGCACAGUAAAAGUAAUUAGGAAAUAUAAGGAGUAAAAUCAGUGAAAUGGGAGCUAGGAGAAAUCAUCAAUUUCCAAAUGGGAGGUCAGCAUGGAUUAAAAAGCAAAGCUUUGUGUCUUUAGAGUGAUUUGAUGAAAGACAGAUUAAAGAGAAACAAAACAGGUGGGGCAACAUUAUUAGACAAAUAGAUAUUUUAGGAAGGUUGAGAUUGUUAAGGUAGUAACAGGACAAACAGUGAUUUUACAAUAUAUAAUUACUUGCAGUUUAAAUAAGAAAUACAGUAGUCAAACUUGGCCUACAUUUAGCCAACUGUAAAAUAAAGCAAAAAAUCUUCCAAAACACAAGCAAAACUUGACAAGAACAUUUUUGAGAAAAUAGCUCUUAAAUACAUCUAGAGAAUGGCCUGAGAAGGUUGAAGUAUUUUGAAGAUGGAGAUAAUGUUUCUAAUGCAGAUAAUAACUAGAGUCAUCUGGGUAUAGAUCUCUAUCACAGAAAAAACAAGCCUGUGCCCUCCAAGCUGCACUAUUACAACUGGGAGACGAGCCUCAACCAGAAGUCCCUGAAGAAAUUCUACAAAAGCCCAGGUGGUAGAGUUCAACAAGGCUGAGGAAAAGGGACAGUCCGGCCACAGCCAGCAUAAAGACAAUGAAGACAUUCUUCUCCGUGGGCCGGGACACAUAACAG